rnacentral:tRNA from 1 species
AGUAAAGUCAGCUAAACAAGCUUUUAGGCCCAUACCCUAACCAUGUUGGUUAAUAUCCCUCCUAUACUA